GAUGGGCUUAGAUGAUGAGCCUUA
rnacentral:siRNA from 1 species